AUUGAACGCUGGCGGCAUGCCUUACACAUGCAAGUCGAACGGCAGCACGGGAGCAAUCCUGGUGGCGAGUGGCGAACGGGUGAGUAAUAUAUCGGAACGUGCCCAGUCGUGGGGGAUAACGUAGCGAAAGCUACGCUAAUACCGCAUACGAUCUACGAAUGAAAGCGGGGGAUCGCAAGACCUCGCGCGAUUGGAGCGGCCGAUAUCAGAUUAGCUAGUUGGUGGGGUAAAGGCCCACCAAGGCGACGAUCUGUAGCUGGUCUGAGAGGACGACCAGCCACACUGGAACUGAGACACGGUCCAGACUCCUACGGGAGGCAGCAGUGGGGAAUUUUGGACAAUGGGCGCAAGCCUGAUCCAGCAUUGCCGCGUGCAGGAUGAAGGCCUUCGGGUUGUAAACUGCUUUUGUACGGAACGAAACAGUCCUUUCUAAUACAAGGGGCUAAUGACGGUACCGUAAGAAUAAGCACCGGCUAACUACGUGCCAGCCGCCGCAGUAAAAC
rnacentral:rRNA from 1 species